UGGGGAAUAUUGCACAAUGGGGGAAACCCUGAUGCAGCGACGCCGCGUGAGCGAAGCAGGCUUUCGAGUCGUAAAGCUCUGUCCUAUGAGAAGAUAAUGACGGUAUCAUAGGAGGAAGCCCUGGCUAAAUACGUGCCAGCAGCCGCGGUAAUACGUAUGGGGCGAGCGUUGUCCGGAAUUAUUGGGCGUAAAGGGUACGUAGGUGGUUUUUUAAGUCAGGUGUCAAAGCGUGGAGCUUAACUCCAUUAAGCACUUGAAACUGAAAGACUUGAGUGAAGGAGAGGAAAGUGGAAUUCCUAGUGGAGCGGUGAAAUGCGUAGAUAUUAGGAGGAAUACCGGUGGCGAAGGCGACUUUCUGGACUUUUACUGACGCUCAGGUACGAAAGCGUGGGGAGCAAACAGG
rnacentral:rRNA from 1 species